AGGUGCGCGUUUAGCUUUGCCCACUCUCCCGCUGGCUCCGGAGGAGAGACCAUUUCUUAAAGACGCAGAUUUGUUUUCGCAAAUGUUGUGCUGGCUGAACCUUCCAGCCUGACGGCAGAAACGCUUCGGGAUCAUACAUGUGCCACUUGAGGGACACUGGGAAGAUAACCUAACAAAUGUGUGGGGUAAACUGGUUUCCAAAAGGGACGCUACUAAGAAGCUGGCUGACCAAGUCCCGGCCCAGACUUCUGCUGCUCCUCGCGGGGUUGAAACGGCCGCAGGUGACCCUGAUGCGGAGGAAACGGAUGAAGCGCACGAAAGUAGCAAAGGCCACGUAAGCGGACCUCCAAUCGAAUGCCACAUUUCUCUUGAACGCUCGGUGGAGAAGAUGCCUGCGUCUGGCUUGAAAAUGGAAGAUUGCGAAGCCACAGAGGAACUAGGUCUUAAAGCUCCGCAUACACGACGGACUAAACGCCAAAAGCACAGGACUUACUUUCGUUUGCAUACCAUGAAAUCAAGGAAUCAACAACUGAAAUAUAUGCUGGCAGAGUAAGCCAAUCAUAAUCUACGCAACAACCUGUACACCAUCUCUGAAAUGUGCAUACUCCAUGUGAUUCAUUAUAAUAUUUAACAGCACGUGUGAUUGUACAAUAUUUACUUUUAAUUCCAAAUCCCUGUAGUCACUGGUACUUUUCUGGUCUGUACAUUAUCAUUUGUCCAGGUUAUCUGUAAAGGAAGGAGUGGAGUAUUCCCAUUCUGUGUACACUAGAGCUGUACCUAGUUUUCUGCAGACGGUCGCUGCAUUAAUCUUCUGCAGAUAUUGCUAAUAACAACUGAUUUCUGACCGGAAAAGCUGACCGGCAGCACAGUGCAGUGUUCUGGAAUAUUUUUCCGCGGGCUUUAUUAAAAUGAUCCUGGGACGGGCCAAUGAAAGAAGACAGAACUGUGGAAACGCGAGUUAAAGGCGGAGCAAUCUUUCUGCCUGAGUGACUUACAUCUACCGACCGACACCACGGAUCCCUGGUCUCCUGAGAGCAUUUAAAGAAUAUACGUGAUUUAUAGGUAGAUUUAGAGGUGCACGUUUCAUGCCAAGCUUGGAGAAAAAGCAAAGUUCAAAGCAAAAAAAAUAAAUUUGAACACCUUUAUCAUGAACCAGACUAACAACAAACUUACUUUGUUUUGAGCAAGCAGUUGAUCAUACAUUAUAUAUUAUAUAUAAGUGUACACAUUCGUAUAUAAACAGUCACAGCUUUACUGUAUAUAGCAUUACGAUAAAAAAAUGAUCUCCUCCAUUGCAGCUAGACGGGAGGGCGGGAGAAAACUGAAAAUGUAAAUUAUAACGUAACAUAACAUAAUGACGAGAACAGGUCGUUCAAUCCGACAAUGCUCUGCAUUUUCCGGACUAAUCGGCAUAAUCUGAAAGAUAUGGCUUUGGUCAUUCAGAAUGUUUACACUACAGUUGGCUUUCUCUCAUUUUAAAUGUAGUCAUUUCAGUCCAUUGACAUUAUGAAGCGACCACAUCUUAGUGUGAUAGUGUGAUAGUCCAUUAAAGGAUGCUUCAAACGUUCGGCAGUCACCAUGUAAUAGUAUGUGGUACAUGGUACCUUGGUGAGCUGGUAUUCAGAACAGAGUCCAGAUCUGUAGUUCUGGGUUUGUACAGUACAGUAAGGCAGUAUGGAGCAAGAUAUCAAGCUGACCCUGAAUCUGACCUGAAAAGACUAUUUUCUUUUUUUUUUCUUUUAGAUGAAUAGAUUAAUGCAUGCCUCCAUCUUUGUAUAACUGCAUUGAAGCGAAUGUCUGCGAGCUGCAGGGUUGAAGGAAGUCUGCAGAAACCUUUAUUUCACUCAGAGAAUGUUUGGGGCAUUAUGGUAUAUAUGUUUCACAGAAUGUCACUAGCAGCACACAUGAUCUGUCCUGGAAGGUGAGGAAGAGCGGAUAUAUUAAAACUUGAACGAGCCAAUUCAA